AGUGAACGCUGGCGGCAGGCCUAACACAUGCAAGUCGAACGGUAACACACAAAGAUCUUCUGCUUUCGUGUUGCGUGUCGGGGGCGUGAGAAGUGUACAGCGAACUCUACGUUUUCGGGGGAUAUCAAGUAGGAAAGGUUACUACCAUACCGUAACGCCCCUAGGCGUGAGAGCAGGGGAUCUUUGUCCCUUGCGCUAUUGAAUGACCCGAUGUCGGUUUAGCUUGUUGGCGGGGUAACGGCACACCGAGGCGACUAUCUGUCGCUGGUCAGAGAGGAUGAUCAGCCACACGGGAACUGAGACACGGUCCAGACUCCUACGGGAGGCAGCAGUGGGGAAUAUUGGACAAUGGGCGCAAGCCUUAUCCAGCCAUACCGCGUGGGUGAAGAAGGCCUUCGGGUUGUAAAGACCUUUUGUUGGGAAAGAAAAGAAUAAAGUUAAUACCCCGCUGAACUGACGGUACCCAAAGAAGAAGCACCGGCUAACUUCGUG
rnacentral:rRNA from 1 species